UAUCUUGACCGCUCUUGUGUUGUCUUUUUUGUAGGUUUAUAAUUAUUAUUCAAUCUUCUUUUCAGUCAUAUUUAUAGAUUAUCAUUGAUUAUCUCAACGAGAUUGAUUUUCUCGCUUGAGCUGGUACAGUUGAGAUGACCAAUGAUAAUCUGUUUAUCGCUAUUUUACCUAUGACGACGUUGUCAGUUUCAAUGUCAAUUUCGUUAGCAACGCCACAUGACCUCCUUAGUUUCUAGCGAUAAUGUUUCCAUCUCAAGCAAUAAGCAUGAUAUGAAAAUAAUCACAAAAAAAAGAUCAAAGUAAAAAUGUACAAAAUAGCGAUAAAUACUGAUAAUGAUGCAGCAACAUCUGAGCCAGACUUGAAGUUGAGUUUGGAAACCUUCAGAAAAAAGAUGGCCAGAACCAUGUGAAGACAAAUCAACAAGCUUGUGUAAUAUUUCAAAGAGUUACAAAGAAUUGCAAAAGAAUGAAACAAAACAAUAUAUAUUGAGGUGCUUUAUGUAUGCCAUUAAGGGAUGUGACAAAGAAGAUGACAUUAAGAUUGGGCUGCAAAGAAUUGUACCACAUAUUUUGGGAUCACGAUUGAAGGUUUAAAGGUUAAAUUGAAUAAUUUAGUGCAAAAAAUGAUUGGUAGAAGUAAUUCUUUAAAUGAUCUUGGAUCUAGACAGUCAAAUGAAAGCUUUAACCAGCUUGUAUCUGUAAAGGCACCUAAAUCAAGGUAUUAACAUUAAAGAAUACAGUUAAAGUUAACCACAGACUGGAAAAUCUUGUUGUGAAUCUAAAAUUGCCCACAUGAGAACAAAGAUGAAAACCGUUGUGGCUUCAGGAAAAAAACAUGACAACUGACAAAGAUAUGAAAGUUACUAUUGAUGAAGGGUCAAGUGUUGUUGGUUGUCAGGUAGCAUAUGUUACACUUUGAUCAUUUAAAUCCCACAAAUGUAGGACACAUGUUUAAUAUUAUAGAUUUAUGUUUUCUUCAAUUUGCUGAAAAGUAAUGCCAGGUGGUUCACAGUAAUAAAAUUUUGUAUGUGG